GAUGAAGAACGCAGCGAAAUGCGAUAAGUAAUGUGAAUUGCAGAAUUCAGUGAAUCAUCGAAUCUUUGAACGCACAUUGCGCCCCCUGGUAUUCCGGGGGGCAUGCCUGUUCGAGCGUCAUUUCACCACUCAAGCCUCGCUUGGUAUUGGGCGACGCGGUCCGCCGCGCGCCUCAAAUCGACCGGCUGGGUCUUCCGUCCCCUCAGCGUUGUGGAAACUAUUCGCUAAAGGGUGCCGCGGGAGGUCACGCCACAAAACAACCCCAUUUCUAAGGUUGACCUCGGAUCAGGUAGGGAUACCCGCUGAACUUAAGCAUAUCAAUAAGCGGAGGA
rnacentral:misc_RNA from 1 species